rnacentral:rRNA from 1 species
GCAUGCCUAAUACAUGCAAGUCGAGCGGUAACAGGGGAAGCUUGCUUCCCGCUGACGAGCGGCGGACGGGUGAGUAAUGUAUGGGGAUCUGCCCGAUAGAGGGGGAUAACUACUGGAAACGGUGGCUAAUACCGCAUAAUGUCUACGGACCAAAGCAGGGGCUCUUCGGACCUUGCACUAUCGGAUGAACCCAUAUGGGAUUAGCUAGUAGGUGGGGUAAAGGCUCACCUAGGCGACGAUCUCUAGCUGGUCUGAGAGGAUGAUCAGCCACACUGGGACAGAGACACGGCCCAGACUCCUACGGGAGGCAGCAGUGGGGAAUAUUGCACAAUGGGCGCAAGCCUGAUGCAGCCAUGCCGCGUGUAUGAAGAAGGCCUUAGGGUUGUAAAGUACUUUCAGCGGGGAGGAAGGUGAUAAGGUUAAUACCCUUGUCAAUUGACGUUACCCGCAGAAGAAGCACCGGCUAACUCCGUGCCAGCAGCCGCGGUAAUACGGAGGGUGCAAGCGUUAAUCGGAAUUACUGGGCGUAAAGCGCACGCAGGCGGUCAAUUAAGUCAGAUGUGAAAGCCCCGAGCUUAACUUGGGAAUUGCAUCUGAAACUGGUUGGCUAGAGUCUUGUAGAGGGGGGUAGAAUUCCAUGUGUAGCGGUGAAAUGCGUAGAGAUGUGGAGGAAUACCGGUGGCGAAGGCGGCCCCCUGGACAAAGACUGACGCUCAGGUGCGAAAGCGUGCGGAGCAAACAGGAUUAGAUACCCUGAUAGUCCACG